AGUCAAACAGCUGGUGACGUCUAUGACAUUAGAGACGUCGGUCGCCCAUGCAACGAAUGCCUAAAAUUCGCGUUAUUAAUUAUAUUUAAAUUAUAAAGACAUCAAAUUAGUGAGAGCACCGACAUCUAGAACAUUAUAGACGUCGGUGGACAAACGUAACCUACGUCUAUAGCCAUUUAUACUCAGAGCGCAAACCCGCGAGCAGUUA
rnacentral:lncRNA from 1 species